GAGGGUCCUGCUGAGGUUGUUGUUACAAUCCAGUGAUGAGGAAGAGGGCCCUGCUGAGGUUGUUGUUACAUUCCAGUGAUGAGGAAGAGGGUCCUGCUGAGGUUGUUGUUACAAUCCAGUGAUGAGGAAGAGGGCCCUGCUGAGGUUGUUGUUACAAUCCAGUGAUGAGGAAGAGGGCCCUGCUGAGGUUGUUGUUACAUUCCAGUGAUGAGGAAGAGGGCCCUGCUGAGGUUGUUGUUACAUUCCAGUGAUGAGGAAGAGGGCCCUGCUGAGGUUGUUGUUACAUUCCAGUGAUGAGGAAGAGGGCCCUGCUGAGGUUGUUGUUACAUUCCAGUGAUGAGGAAGAGGGUCCUGCUGAGGUUGUUGUUACAUUCCAGUGAUGAGGAAGAGGGCCCUGCUGAGGUUGUUGUUACAUUCCAGUGAUGAGGAAGAGGGCCCUGCUGAGGUUGUUGUUACAUUCCAGUGAUGAGGAAGAGGGUCCUGCUGAGGUUGUUGUUACAUUCCAGUGAUGAGGAAGAGGGUCCUGCUGAGGUUGUUGUUACAUUCCAGUGAUGAGGAAGAGGGUCCUGCUGAGGUUGUUGUUACAUUCCAGUGAUGAGGAAGAGGGUCCUGCUGAGGUUGUUGUUACAUUCCAGUGAUGAG